rnacentral:rRNA from 1 species
CCUACGGGUGGCAGCAGUGGGGAAUAUUGGGCAAUGGACGCACGUCUGACCCAGCAACGCCGCGUGCAGGAAGAAGGCUUUCGGGUUGUAAACUUCUUUUAAGGGGGAAGAGCAGAAGACGGUACCCCUUGCAUCAUCUACGGCUAACUACGUGCCAGCAGCCGCGGUAAUACGUAGGUGGCAAGCGUUAUCCGGAUUUACUGGGUGUAAAGGGCGUGCAGCCGGAGUGACAAGUCAGAUGUGAAAUCCACGGGCUCAACCGCGGAAUUGCAGUUGAAACUGUUGGUCUGGAGUGGAGGAGGGGAGGGCGGAAUUAAUGGUGUAGCGGUGAAAUGCGUAGAUAUCAUGAAGAACGCCGGUGGCGAAGGCAAGUGGCCGGGGUGCAACUGACGCUGAGGCUCGAAAGUGUGGGGAUCAAACAGGAUUAGAUACCCUAGUAGUC